AAGGGCAACAGUAUCUCGGUGAAAGGCAGGGCUGGCCCCGGCUGCGGGAAGCUGUUGUGGGAUCAACCUCAGCAUUGCAAAAAUCUGCAGUGUUCGCACUGAAAACCUCCCGUCUUCGGAAUAUUCCGUUGUGUAACUGGUUUUGCAAAUGUCGUUAAUGGACGCUCGUAUAAACCAGCCAGGUGAUCCAAACAAUAACCACACUGAAAACAGGCACAGAAUGGCAGAGCUUGAGUUGUCCCAGAUUUUGCCCCACAAUAGUAAAGACCUUGCAGCUACAGGAUGGUAACAGGUGCCUCAAAGACAGCUUUUGUCCCAGAGAGACACAGAGGCCUAUCAGCAAAAGCACGUUAGAAUGACACUGUAUGAAGGGAGAAGUAUGCACCGACUCCUGCUGUUUCUCAAGGUAGAUUCUUGAAUUCUGAACCUGACACAUGGUUACAUAUUUCUUUUCCUGUUGUUGGUGGCUUUGAAUAUUAAACUUCUGUUUUGAGAGCACAGACAAAAAGAUUUUGUUAGUAACCCUGACAGCCUAUAGCUUUACGGUCGAUGAAUUCAACUGCAGCAAGUUAGUCAAGUUAGUAUCAUCCUUUAUUUCUGAAGAUUGCAGUUCUUAAUGAGCAAAUGUCUGGCUACUGUAGGGGAGUUUUAGGUGAGGAGAGAGGAAGAGGGAUCAUAGGCUGUUCCCCCUCCAUGCCACCCCCCCCCAACUCUUUCCACAUAAGUAUUUGGGGAAAAAAAGAUGGAGAAUGGCAAAAACAGGGCACAGGGGAACAGUAGCAAUAGUUAUGUGAAUCUGCUUGUAGACUGUUAGAAGUUUACAAGGUGUAGGAUAUUUUCAGGUUAGAAAAUGUUGAGAGUAAAGAAUGGGAAGGUGUUCUCAUAAACAAAAGAAAUUCUGCAUUUUAUGACAGAUGAAAAGUGACCAGACAGGAACUGCAAGUAAGAAGUGCCAGUAGAAUGUUUCCUUACCAAUAAAUUUACCGAGGGAUAGCAAAAUGGUAUAAAAAUGGUACGCAAACUGAGUAUAAGGGCCUUGGAUGGCCAUGGUAUGAUUGGCUAUAGGUACAGCAUUUCACUGCUGCUGCUUCAAAUUAACAGCGUGGGGCACGUGUUAACUGCAGCUUUAUCUUCACUGUAAAUAAAAUCCCAUUUCCUAUUGAAUAGCUAAUGUGCUUUGCCUGUUCUACUGUGAGAUCAUAUUGGAAAUAAGACAUUGCAGUUUCAGUGGGGAUUAAGAACGUAUGGCCAAACAUGGGCAAAAUCAUCACCACUUUUCCCAGAUAAUGCCUUGCCUUUAGCUGAGAUCCAUAGAUAAAAAUCUGUGUACUUAAGGACAAUAUUCGUUAUCUCUUUUUUUUGCUCUUCAUUGUUUUAAAAAAUGAAAAUUAGCACUUUGUAGAAGCUAAAACAAUG